AUGGCCCACUGCGGGCCCACACGUAAAAAUUGGUUUCUCAAGUCCCAGCUGCGUAUACGGUGGCUAUACAGUCAAAUCGUAUCUGACUCCAACCCACUCCCUGUCUCGGGUUGCCCAUCGUCCUUCGUCCUUCCUCCCGAUACAGAUCCAAAACUUCCCCACUCUCCCCCUGGCCUCCUCCAUCGUUGGUCGCCUCUGGGCUCUGGCACUGCUACACCACCGCAUCGACGACGCCGCUCCUCCUCCACGAGGCUUCCUGCGCGUGUGGCCAUGGACGGAGCUCGCCCAGCCGCCCCCAGAGGCUGCCUUUGA
rnacentral:rRNA from 1 species